UCGUAACGAUUAAAAAAUCAAUUCUCAAAAUUACUUUCAAAUAAUUCUUAUAUUUUCCUAACCAUGAGAUGGUCUCCAUGCUUCAAAUUGAGGUUGUUGAAAGAAGCAUGGACUAAAGUAUGCUCUUUGGGCUUUGAUUAUGAGGGAAUAGAAAUUUUGAAGUCCAAAGAUCAAUACUCCAUUGAUAUCAUUUUAAUUUUUGUAUGUAUAUUAUUACAAUUAUUUA